rnacentral:lncRNA from 13 species
ACUUUGGCUUAAGCUUAAAAGCCUACUGUGUUUUUAAAAUGUUCAAGACAGUCGGUGAAGGUGUUGGACUGAAUUCCAAUUCUUACAUUCCAUUACUUUUGUGAUCUGUAUUCCUGGUUUCCAUGAUCCAAGUAGGCAAGACAGGGUUUUAUUUGCGUUCAUCUGGACAAUGUGUGUGCUUUAAAAUUUCCAUACUUCGACCACUGCUUGUGAACUGUGAAGUGUCUGGAAGCUCAAACAGUACCUGCAUCUACAGAAGAGCUGUGCUUCUAGCUGGAAAUGAAGAAAAGCUUCCAGUAAAGAUCAGAGAGUCUGCUUUCAACUUAUCGUCCUCACCUUAUUUCAUCUUCUGCCUUAGCUGCGCUAAUUAUGAGCUUUAUCAAGGACAGAUGUUUACUCCUCCCUGGGUGAAAGCUACCAUUACUCUAUUUUCUGAUGAGGAAAGUGAGGUAUAAAAAGCGAGUUACAUAAGCAAGAGUGCACAGUUCUAAGUGGAGGAGGUGUCUGACUCCAGAGCCCAGGACUAUAACCUCUACGAAAGCCGUCCUUCAUGAUAGACACGAGGACUGAAUAAUGUGGAUGGCCAGUGUCUACUACUGGGCUUUGUGACCAGCAGGAAAUCUAAGUGCUCAAGGAAGA